GGUAACUGUGCCAGGACAGGACUUUGAUCUGACUCUUUCUAAAGCAUCUCUCAUUCCUAGUAGUCCCUCCUUGUGCUUUGUGAACUUUGAGGAAGACAGGUAGAUAGACAGGGUCAGAUCCAUGGUCCUAGCUGGACACAAGGAACUGGGAUUGGUAGAAUUGCGCCUCUGAGGACUGGAGAGGGUUCUUCAUGACAGCUCCAACCACUGUCUCCAAAGGCAGGGUUAUAUUUGGUCUGCUGGAGAGUGGGAAGCAGAUAGACGGUCUCUCCUGCCCUUGGUUACACAUAAUGAGCUUCCUGCAAGGAGGAAUAGAAAGUGCAUUUCAGAAGACAGGACUCAAGGUAGCUCUGGUGGAUUACUACACUCUUUUUGGAAAGAUGGAGAUCAUCAUGAAUACUGUUUCAGAAAAGGGCCCACCACCAGAGCUGCAGUAGAAACAGCAUACACUUCCUGAGUUUCAUGUGACAAAUAAAAUGCAAGCAUAUUUUGAAAAGAGAAAUGUUGACCCAACUUAACUUUCCAUCCUCUUACGCUGUUUUGAGAAUGAACUAGCAUGCUUCAGAUCAUGGGAACAAACAAAAAGCAUGGUGGCAGAGAAACAGCAGUAUUUGAAGUAAAGCU